UACGGAGGGGGCUAGCGUUGUUCGGAAUUACUGGGCGUAAAGCGCACGUAGGCGGCUUUGCAAGUUAGAGGUGAAAGCCCGGGCUCAACUCCGGAAUUGCCUUUAAAACUGCAUCGCUAGAAUUGUGGAGAGGUAAGUGGAAUUCCGAGUGUAGAGGUGAAAUUCGUAGAUAUUCGGAAGAACACCAGUGGCGAAGGCGACUUACUGGACAUGUAUUGACGCUGAGGUGCGAAAGCGUGGGGAGCAAACAGG
rnacentral:rRNA from 1 species